AUGGCGAGAGUGGACUCGAAGGCCCUGGACUUGGAAUGAGUACGCUCUAAAUCCUUUAACGAGAAUCCAUUGGAGGGCAAGUCUGGUGCCAGCAGCUGUGGUCAUUCCAGCUCCUA
rnacentral:ncRNA from 1 species